rnacentral:rRNA from 1 species
AAUCAACGCGGGCGGCGCGCAUAACACAUGCAAGUCGAACGAGAAAGUGGAGCAAUCCAUGAGUACAGUGGCGUACGGGUGAGUAACACGUGGGUAAUCUACCUUUAGUGAGGAAUAACUUUGGGAAACCGAAGCUAAUACCGCAUAAGCCUGAGAAGGGAAAGCAGUAAUGCGCUGAAAGAGGAGCCCGCGGCCGAUUAGCUAGUUGGUGAGGUAAUGGCCCACCAAGGCAUAGAUCGGUAGCCGGCCUGAGAGGGCACACGGCCACACUGGCACUGAAACACGGGCCAGACUCCUACGGGAGGCAGCAGUGGGGAAUCUUGCACAAUGGGGGAAACCCUGAUGCAGCGACGCCGCGUGAGCGAUGAAGCCCUUCGGGGUGUAAAGCUCUUUCGGCAGGGAAGAUUAUGACGGUACCUGCAGAAGCAGCUGCGGCUAACUACGUGCCAGCAGCCGCGGUAAUACGUAGGCAGCAAGCGUUGUUCGGAGUUACUGGGCGUAAAGGGUGUGUAGGCGGCUCUCUAAGUUUGGUGUGAAAUCUCCCGGCUCAACCGGGAGGGUGCGCCGAAUACUGAAG